GGUUGUAAAUAGCUAACUUUAUUAAUCUUUCUAUUUAAUGAUUCUGUCUGUAGGUCAUGGGUGAAAUUGAAAUUCCAGACCGCCCUUCUUCGUGGCAAACCUUUAGAAAUUAGAUUGUACUAGGUCAGUGCUUCUGAAACCUGAAUGUGAACCCCUGGGUGAGAUUAUGAUUCAGUUGGUCUAAGGUGGGACCCACAAAUCUGCAUUUUGACACGUGCCAAGAAGAGGCCAGUGCUGCUAGUCCGGGACCAUACUCUGAAAGACUGUAAACACCAUGUGAAUAGAGAUGACUUCUGUCUACUUCCAUGAGCUCUAGAGCAUCCACAAGCUCCUUACACAUGAGACGUGAGUAUUCAUUGAAUGAAGGUGGGAUUCAGGUUGGUCAGUUUCUCCUGCAUCCCAAGCUU
rnacentral:lncRNA from 10 species